rnacentral:rRNA from 1 species
GGUGCCUAAUACAUGCAAGUCGAACGAACUCUGGUAUUGAUUGGUGCUUGCAUCAUGAUUUACAUUUGAGUGAGUGGCGAACUGGUGAGUAACACGUGGGAAACCUGCCCAGAAGCGGGGGAUAACACCUGGAAACAGAUGCUAAUACCGCAUAACAACUUGGACCGCAUGGUCCGAGUUUGAAAGAUGGCUUCGGCUAUCACUUUUGGAUGGUCCCGCGGCGUAUUAGCUAGAUGGUGGGGUAACGGCUCACCAUGGCAAUGAUACGUAGCCGACCUGAGAGGGUAAUCGGCCACAUUGGGACUGAGACACGGCCCAAACUCCUACGGGAGGCAGCAGUAGGGAAUCUUCCACAAUGGACGAAAGUCUGAUGGAGCAACGCCGCGUGAGUGAAGAAGGGUUUCGGCUCGUAAAACUCUGUUGUUAAAGAAGAACAUAUCUGAGAGUAACUGUUCAGGUAUUGACGGUAUUUAACCAGAAAGCCACGGCUAACUACGUGCCAGCAGCCGCGGUAAUACGUAGGUGGCAAGCGUUGUCCGGAUUUAUUGGGCGUAAAGCGAGCGCAGGCGGUUUUUUAAGUCUGAUGUGAAAGCCUUCGGCUCAACCGAAGAAGUGCAUCGGAAACUGGGAAACUUGAGUUGCAGAAGAGGACAGUGGAACUCCAUGUGUAGCGGUGAAAUGCGUAGAUAUAUGGAAGAACACCAGUGGCGAAGGCGGCUGUCUGGUCUGUAACUGACGCUGAGGCUCGAAAGUAUGGGUAGCAAACAGGAUUAGAUACCCUGGUAGUCCAUACCGUAAACGAUGAAUGCUAAGUGUUGGAGGGUUUCCGCCCUUCAGUGCUGCAGCUAACGCAUUAAGCAUUCCGCCUGGGGAGUACGGCCGCAAGGCUGAAACUCAAAGGAAUUGACGGGGGCCCGCACAAGCGGUGGAGCAUGUGGUUUAAUUCGAAGCUACGCGAAGAACCUUACCAGGUCUUGACAUACUAUGCAAAUCUAAGAGAUUAGACGUUCCCUUCGGGGACAUGGAUACAGGUGGUGCAUGGUUGUCGUCAGCUCGUGUCGUGAGAUGUUGGGUUAAGUCCCGCAACGAGCGCAACCCUUAUUAUCAGUUGCCAGCAUUAAGUUGGGCACUCUGGUGAGACUGCCGGUGACAAACCGGAGGAAGGUGGGGAUGACGUCAAAUCAUCAUGCCCCUUAUGACCUGGGCUACACACGUGCUACAAUGGAUGGUACAACGAGUUGCGAACUCGCGAGAGUAAGCUAAUCUCUUAAAGCCAUUCUCAGUUCGGAUUGUAGGCUGCAACUCGCCUACAUGAAGUCGGAAUCGCUAGUAAUCGCGGAUCAGCAUGCCGCGGUGAAUACGUUCCCGGGCG